UGGGGGAUAUUGCACAAUGGGCGAAAGCCUGAUGCAGCGACGCCGCGUGGGGGAUGAAGGCCUUCGGGUUGUAAACUUCUUUUGCUCUGAACAAGGCGCACCAUGGGGUGUGUUGAGUGUAGGGGUUGAUUAGCGCCGGCUAACUACGUGCCAGCAGCCUCGGUAAUACGUAGGGCGCGAGCGUUGUCCGGCAUUAUUGGGCGUAAAGGGCUUGUAGGUGGCUGGUUACGUCUGUCGUGAAAGCUCAUGGCUUAACUGUGGGUUUGCGGGGGGUACGGGCUGGGUUAAGUGCAGUAGGGGAGGCUGGAAUUCCUGGUGUAGCGGUGGAAUGCGCAGAUAUCCGGAGGAAUACCGGUGGCGAAGGAGGGUCUCGGGGAUGUUACUGACACUGAGGAGCGAAAGCAUGGGGAGCUAAGAGG
rnacentral:rRNA from 1 species